rnacentral:lncRNA from 1 species
AAGACUUGGGAGGCAUUAAACUUAGCGGCGAUGACGCCUUCGCCCAGAGCAUUCGGGCAACCCCUCUUUUGAAAUCAUGCUUAGCACAAUAGUGCCUCAUAGGGGAGACACUUCCAUGAACAACAUAAUGUGAAAAUGCAAUAAUGAAGGGCCAUGACCUGGGAAAAAAUGGUGCUGUGUUUUAAAACUGCAGUCAUUUCUUCCACAAGUCAAAUCAACAAAGAUCCUUUCCACUGAUGCCUGAGGAUAAUUCCAAGUUUUCUGAGAUACAGAAGGUGAGAACCAGCAGGGAUCUGAAGAGCCAAAUUCCAGAUGAGGAGAUGGGCUUGGAGGAGCUUGGAGACAGAACCCUUGACUUCUUCUAUGGGAGAGUGAGAUGCUGUGAACUGUUCAACCCAGCUACCAUUAAGAAUGUAGAAGUGAUAUCAGAGGGAUCAUAAUCAGUUGGAGAGACAUCGGCAGGAUGAAACAAAUAUCAGUGAUGCUAAGAGUUAGGAGCCAAUCAGAUAGAAGUCUAAAAUAUUAUAUGGCAGCCAAUCAGGAAGUUCAAUGUGAUUUGGGACUAUGUAAGCAAUGGGAUUAUAUAACAAGCAGGGGCAAAUAGGAUGCCCUAACCUGGAAUAUUGGACCUCAGGACUGAAAAGAAGUAAGCAACUGGAGGGAAUCCAGAGGAGAUCAUCUACAAUGAUGGUUUUAAAGCAAAAUAUGAACUUUAUAGUGUAGCCAAACCACAAAGUCAGACCCAAGGGGCAUGAUUAAAUCUACAAAUAGCUCGAGGGUCUAAACACCAAGGGGAAAGAGGAAUUUUGGCUGGAGAUAAGAAAAAUUUCAAGGGAUAAAGUUAAGAAAAGGGAAAUUUAGGUUUAACAGAAUAUAUCCUUUGGUAGUUAGACGUAUGUGUUUAGAGAACGGUAUUUCAAGGGAAUGGAAAGAAAACUGAUGAGUUUUCUAGGAUCUUUGAUAAGAGUCUACCUUGAUGUCAGACCAAGAACUCUAGAACUUUCAUUAG